AGCCUUUCGUAUCUGAGCUGAGAUUUUGUCAAAAAUCAGUCGACUAGGGCUGCUGCAGCUUCCCAGAUAAGUGAAGUA
rnacentral:pre_miRNA from 1 species